GUGCUUACACAUGCAAGUCGAACGCUGAAGCCGACAGCUUGCUGUUGGUGGAUGAGUGGCGAACGGGUGAGUAACACGUGAGUAACCUGCCCCUGAUUUCGGGAUAAGCCUGGGAAACUGGGUCUAAUACCGGAUAUGACCAAUCUUCGCAUGAGGGUUGGUGGAAAGUUUUUCGAUCGGGGAUGGGCUCGCGGCCUAUCAGCUUGUUGGUGGGGUAAUGGCCUACCAAGGCGACGACGGGUAGCCGGCCUGAGAGGGCGACCGGCCACACUGGGACUGAGACACGGCCCAGACUCCUACGGGAGGCAGCAGUGGGGAAUAUUGCACAAUGGGGGAAACCCUGAUGCAGCGACGCAGCGUGCGGGAUGACGGCCUUCGGGUUGUAAACCGCUUUCAGCAGGGAAGAAGCGAAAGUGACGGUACCUGCAGAAGAAGUACCGGCUAACUACGUGCCAGCAGCCGCGGUAAUAC
rnacentral:rRNA from 1 species